CCGGCGACCGGCGCACGAGUGAGUAACACGUAUGCAACCUGGCCGUGACAGAUGGAUAACCGGGAGAAAUCCCGCCUAAUACAACAUAAUGCCGGGAGGGGACAUCCCCUGCCGGCCAAAGGGGGCGACCCCGGUCACGGAUGGGCAUGCGGCGCAUUAGGUAGUUGGUGGGGCAACGGCCCACCAAGCCGACGAUGCGUAGGGGUUCUGAGAGGAAGGUCCCCCACAUUGGAACUGAGACACGGUCCAAACUCCUACGGAAGGCAGCAG
rnacentral:rRNA from 1 species